AACGAACGCUGGCGGCAGGCCUAACACAUGCAAGUCGAACGCCCCGCAAGGGGAGUGGCAGACGGGUGAGUAACGCGUGGGAACCUACCUCGUGGUACGGAACAACCAAGGGAAACUUUGGCUAAUACCGUAUGAGCCCGAGAGGGGAAAGCUGUAUCGCCAUGAGAUGGGCCCGCGUAGGAUUAGCUAGUUGGUGAGGUAAUGGCUCACCAAGGCGACGAUCCUUAGCUGGUCUGAGAGGAUGACCAGCCACACUGGGACUGAGACACGGCCCAGACUCCUACGGGAGGCAGCAGUGGGGAAUAUUGGACAAUGGGCGCAAGCCUGAUCCAGCCAUGCCGCGUGUGUGAUGAAGGCCUUAGGGUUGUAAAGCAUUUUCGCCGAUGAAGAUAAUGACGGUAGUCGGAGAAGAAGCCCCGGCUAACUUCGUGCCAGCCGCCGCAGUAACAC
rnacentral:rRNA from 1 species